UCUCCGUUGGUGAACCAGCGGAGGGAUCAUUACAGGACUCGCAAGACUCCUUCACCCUGUGAACCUCACUACAAGCACGUUGCUUCGGCGGGUGUCCCGGCGGGGGUUUUCCCUCGUCGGGGCGCACAGCCCGCCGGCAGCCUACUAUACUCUGUCUCUCUGCGUUGGCAUCUCGAGAAAAAACAAACAAGUUAAAACUUUCAACAACGGAUCUCUUGGUUCUG
rnacentral:misc_RNA from 1 species